GGACAGAUGGAUGGAUGGAUGGAUUGACGGAUGAACAGACAGGCGAUGGACGGACGGACAGACGAUGAAUGGACGGACAGACAGACGAUGGAUGGAUGGACGGACUGACGGAUGGGUUAACGGACAGACGAUGGACAGACGGACGGACAGACGAUGGAUGGAUGGACUGACGGAUGGAUGGAUGGACAAUGGAGGGAUGGACUGACGGAUGGAUGGAUGGACGAUGGAUGGGGACAGACGGAUGGACAGACGAUGGACGGAUGGACUGACGGAUGGGUGGAUGAUGGAUGGACGAUGGACGGACUCUGUCAGCUCCUCUUUCCUCUGCCUUUUUGUGUUUUGUUUUGUUUUGUUUUUUUCAGCCAAAUAAAGUUUUUAUUUUCUGGGCAGCUUUUUAGUGAAUAUAUUAAAAAGGUGGUAUCAUCUUUGGCGAUGGUGUGGUUGGUACGGUUGCUAUGGGAUGUCCUGUCAAUAAUCUUUGGCCAUAACUUUUAACUGCAGCACUAAAAAACAGAGACCCUUAAAUUACUGUUAUGUCACACCUUUUUAGCAUCUUCCUCUCUCUCCUUUUAAAACACUGUCUCUUUUAUCUUGCAGUAAUUCCCCACAGCACACAUAAAGGUGGAACCAUACUGAUCGGGUCUCCUAAAUUUCUGAAGCUUCUGGAGCUCGAAGUGUGACACAGGCGCUCACUUGAUGAGGUGAGUGAAUUCAUUUGGCGAGCUGCAGCACGGUUCUGGAAACCUGGUGCGGAGGUAAGCAGCUCGCCCCGCGCCGCAGAUGCCUUUAGUUUUCUUAUGGAAUACUAAUUACGUUUGCAUAAUUGGUUUUAGUCAUUUAAAUGGGGGAGCUUGUUAAAUCUUUUCCCCCUGUUUUCACCUACAGCUAAAUUUAGCUAACAAGGUCUGUGUGAAUCUGAACUGCUUUGUUCAAAAAACGAGGCAUUAGUGGUUUAGACUUCAGAGUGCACUGUCAAUUGAUCUCACAUCUUGAAAGAAAGGAGAUAAAAUUUUAAAUGACUUACAACUGCUUAUGUGAUAAGCUGCAGGAAUGUUUUGUGCUUCGCUGAUGAAUAGCUUUGAGCAGCCUCUUUCUCUGUAAUGGCAGCGAGAUGUAAA
ensembl:lncRNA